rnacentral:rRNA from 1 species
GACGAACGCUGGCGGCGUGCUUAACACAUGCAAGUCGAACGAAGAGCGAUGGAAGCUUGCUUCUAUCAAUCUUAGUGGCGAACGGGUGAGUAACGCGUAAUCAACCUGCCCUUCAGAGGGGGACAACAGUUGGAAACGACUGCUAAUACCGCAUACGAUCUAAUCUCGGCAUCGAGGAUAGAUGAAAGGUGGCCUCUACAUGUAAGCUAUCACUGAAGGAGGGGAUUGCGUCUGAUUAGCUAGUUGGAGGGGUAACGGCCCACCAAGGCGAUGAUCAGUAGCCGGUCUGAGAGGAUGAACGGCCACAUUGGGACUGAGACACGGCCCAGACUCCUACGGGAGGCAGCAGUGGGGAAUCUUCCGCAAUGGACGAAAGUCUGACGGAGCAACGCCGCGUGAGUGAUGACGGCCUUCGGGUUGUAAAGCUCUGUUAAUCGGGACGAAAGGCCUUCUUGCGAAUAGUGAGAAGGAUUGACGGUACCGGAAUAGA